GACGAACGCUGGCGGCGUGCUUAACACAUGCAAGUCGAACGGAAAGGCCCUGCUUUUGUGGGGUGCUCGAGUGGCGAACGGGUGAGUAACACGUGAGUAACCUGCCCUUGACUUUGGGAUAACUUCAGGAAACUGGGGCUAAUACCGGAUAGGAGCUCCUGCUGCAUGGUGGGGGUUGGAAAGUUUCGGCGGUUGGGGAUGGACUCGCGGCUUAUCAGCUUGUUGGUGGGGUAGUGGCUUACCAAGGCUUUGACGGGUAGCCGGCCUGAGAGGGUGACCGGCCACAUUGGGACUGAGAUACGGCCCAGACGCCUACGGGAGGCAGCAGUGGGGAAUAUUGCACAAUGGGUGGAAGCCUGAUGCAGCAACGCCGGGUGCGGGAUGACGGCCUUCGGGUUGUAAACCGCUUUCGCUCAUGACGAAGCUUUGUGUGACGGUAGUGGGUAAAGAAGCACCGGCUAACUACGUG
rnacentral:rRNA from 1 species